GAUGAACGCUGGCGGCGUGCCUAAUACAUGCAAGUCGAGCGAAUGGAUUAAGAGCUUGCUCUUAUGAAGUUAGCGGCGGACGGGUGAGUAACACGUGGGUAACCUGCCCAUAAGACUGGGAUAACUCCGGGAAACCGGGGCUAAUACCGGAUAACACUUUGAACCGCAUGGUUCGAAAUUGAAAGGCGGCUUCGGCUGUCACUUAUGGAUGGACCCGCGUCGCAUUAGCUAGUUGGUGAGGUAACGGCUCACCAAGGCAACGAUGCGUAGCCGACCUGAGAGGGGGAUCGGCCACACUGGGACUGAGACACGGCCCAGACUCCUACGGGAGGCAGCAGUAGGGAAUCUUCCGCAAUGGACGAAAGUCUGACGGAGCAACGCCGCGUGAGUGAUGAAGGCUUUCGGGUCGUAAAACUCUGUUGUUAGGGAAGAACAAGUGCUAGUUGAAUAAGCUGGCACCUUGACGGUACCUAACCAGAAAGCCACGGCUAACUGCGUGCCAGCAGCCGCCGCGG
rnacentral:rRNA from 1 species